rnacentral:lncRNA from 1 species
AUUUUCAGAAGACGAAUGUCACUAUUUUUCUUGCUCAAUAUGAUUCUGAUUGCUUUCCUUUGUAUCUUGAAUAAUUUAACUUUUUUAAUGUCAUUUUGUCUUAUAUGUCUUGUUACCGAAAUUUAACUUACAAUCAUACACUGAAAACUUUUUUCUCUGUUUAUUUUGCCAAGAUCUUUAAAGAUUCGCUGGUGUGAUCUCAUCAUGCCAGUUUUUUGGGAGAGAGCUCCUCAGAGCUGAACUGUUGUCCAUACCCUCUCCCCAGAUCAGGACAUUUCCUUGCGUAGUUACUGGGAAACUGAUGGUAGAACACUAUAGUAAGGAUUAGGAUGGUCUUACUUAAUCAAGGGAAAAUAAAAAAGUAGAGAAAACUGAAAGGUUUGUGAUUUAAUUGUUCUUGAAACUUGACCAUUGCUGUAUCUGAGCUUCUGUGCAAACCAUACAGGUUUCCUGAAACUUUUAAUCUAGCUGGGAGGCUUAGGCUAUUACACUUUUGUUGACUGAUUUGAUUCUAAUGCCACCCAUAUGUUGUACCUAAAGGUUUGAUGGGUUAACUACAAUUUUAUGAUGGAAUUCUUUUAAUUCUUAAUUGAGUUCCCACACUACAAAAAAGGGGUAAUAUUCCACCUCUUUUUCUUCUUAUUCUUUGAAGAUAUAUACACGUAUUGGAUGGUUUUG